GAACCUGAAGAUGUCGUUUCAGGCU
rnacentral:piRNA from 1 species